UUGCUGUGAUGUAAGAAUUUCUUCACCUGAAUCCACUAUGUGGAUUAAAAUGAGCUUUUUAACACUGAGCAAC